rnacentral:rRNA from 1 species
UACGUAGGGCGCAAGCGUUAUCCGGAAUUAUUGUGCGUAAAGAGCUCGUAGGCGGUUUGUCGCGUCUGCCGUGAAAGUCCGGGGCUCAACUCCGGAUCUGCGGUGGGUACGGGCAGACUAGAGUGAUGUAGGGGAGACUGGAAUUCCUGGUGUAGCGGUGAAAUGCGCAGAUAUCAGGAGGAACACCGAUGGCGAAGGCAGGUCCCUGGGCAUCAACUGACGCUGAGGAGCGAAAGCAUGGGGAGCGAACAGG